CUCUCUGUUCUGAUUUUCAGGAAGAAGGUUCAUUUUUGUGGCCCGUUUCCACUAGGUAGAUGGGAUGGCAAUGGCGGUUCCUUGGUUGAAGGAUGCAAUGCAGCUCACUAAAUUUGAAGUUGUACUAUUUUGGUCUGCCUAGAUACCCAAGCAGGGGAGAUAGGCUGCAAGUUGGGUAGAAAGCGGCAUGAUUCUCGGCAAUACUCUUUACUUGGUAUUUGAUGAUUACUCUUUACUUGGUACAACGUUCUUGAUGAUUUAAUAUAGUCUGACCCUGCUGUAGAAAGAAGCUUACAUACAUGCCUGGAUGUGUUCGAGAUGCAUUGCAGUGUGUAUUACUCUUUAGUUGGUAUAAUGUUCUAGAUGAUUUUAAUAGUCUGGCCCUGCUGUAGAAAACAGUUUACAUACAUGCCUGGAUGUGUUCGAGAUGCAUUGCAGUGUGUACUCAUAGGUGGUCGUGAAGGGCGACUAAAAGUAAUCCAUCAUCACAUCAAGUUUCUGGAAUUCUGGGGAUCGAAAUCAGAUCGAGAUGCCAAUGUCCUGUAUGUUGCUUCAGUUAUAUGGCUUGAGCUGGUCAAUCUGCAAGAUGAUGCAAAAAAUUGCUUGCAGAUAGUCUGUAUGUAUGUGUACAGACAUGCAUGUUGUAUGUUUAUAUCAAUUUUGCAAAUUGACAUUUGUUCAGAUGCUUCUAAGUAGUGGUUCAUGAAGAUUCAAAGUAAAUCUAAAUUACUUUGUGUUGCCUAUCCUAUUACUUGAUUUUUUUGCUAACUAUGUGUAUGAGUAAAUUUCCAAGAUGAUGCAAAAAAAUCGCUUGCAGAUAGUCUGUAUGUGUACACACAUGCAUGUUGUAUGUUUAUAUUAACUUUGCAAUACUGAUGUUUGUUCAGAUUCUUCUAAGCAGUAUGCUCUAGCAGAACGAUGCUUCCCUUUCCUUACUGUUGUUGCUAAAUAUUUUUUUUAUGUGGCAUAUGAGGACUGAACAGCAUCAGGCCAACGAUCUCACCCUGGGAGUCCACUUCUUUACGGUCAUGACAUCUGCCUUGACAAAUUAUCUGGAGGUAAUUUAUUUGGUUCCCUCCAUUGGAUGAAGACCUAUUUUGUGUUGUUUAGUUGCAUGAAAACUUCCUGAAGCAUUUUAUUGACAUUGGAUAGAGCUGAGAAAAUCUAUUUAUGCUUAUAGUUUUGUGUGCCUUUUUCUAGCAGUUGAGCUCCAGAGACGAAUGGGGAGGUGGACUUUGCUGGAGUUAUCAUGUGUUCUUGCAAUCAGAACGCAUGGGGAUUAUAAGCCAAUAUACGAUUUGUUCAUUUUCUUUUAGAGGUAUAUGAACAUUGAUUCAUAUGAUUAGUUGGUACUUAAGAACAUGGAUACCCACACUUUCCUUGAUAGUCCAAAAGGUUCAGAUUUUAAAUAUAGAUGUUAAGCUAUGAUGAGAAUCUUAUUGACUCAGCCAUCGUAUUUUGUUUUAGGUAGAUAAUCAUUAGUUCAUAUUUCUGAACAGGGAAAGCCAUGGUAUUCGGAUGGCGGAAGCAGUUCUGAUAUUUGAUAUAGAUUUAAAGGACCAGGAGAACCUAAGUGGCUCAUUCCUAUACCAACAUUCCGAUAUAUACGG
rnacentral:lncRNA from 1 species